rnacentral:lncRNA from 1 species
AAGGUAAUGGCUAUGAUCUAUUCUGAUGAAGGUGGUGUCCUUACCAAUUUUUUUGGAUGAGGAAGAACUCGACCCUGUCGAGUCUGGAUCAGCUUGAUCGUGACGGAACUCAAGUAGCUCUGGAUCGAUCUUCUGCAGCUCCUCUUGAGUAAUCCAUGAAUCUUCUGACUCUAGCCUUCCUCACCAUCGAACCAGGUAGCAACAGUAGUCUCAUCUCCUGGUGGACACGGUCUGUUCUUCCAGAAUGCGUUCGAUUGAGUCGUGCUUUUUAUUUACUUUGGCUUGGAGACAUUCGGAUGGGGGUUUGCUUUCAAAAGAAGGUACAGACUCAAAAGGAUCACUGGGUAUCAUUAUUGGUUCUUUGUAUGCUAUCAGAUCAGAAACAUUAAGAGUAGAGCCAAAAUCAUAA